rnacentral:rRNA from 1 species
AUUGAACGCUGGCGGCAGGCCUAACACAUGCAAGUCGAACGAGUGGCGGACGGGUGAGUAAUGUCUGGGAAACUGCCCGAUGGAGGGGGAUAACUACUUGAAACGGUAGCUAAUACCGCAUACCAUCGGAUGUGCCCAGAUGGGAUUAGCUAGUAGGUGGGGUAACGACUCACAUAGGCGACGAUCCCUAGCUGGUCUGAGAGGAUGACCAGCCAAACUGGAACUGAGACACGGUCCAGACUCCUACGGGAGGCAGCAGUGGGGAAUAUUGCACAAUGGGCGCAAGCCUGAUGCAGCAAUGCCGCGUGUAUGAAGAAGGCCUUCGGGUUGUAAAGUACUUUCAGCGGGGAGGCGUUACCCGAAGAAGAAGCACCGGCUAACUCCGUGCCAGCAGCCGCGGUAAUUC